rnacentral:lncRNA from 1 species
GAUGAUGCAGCAGAUGGUCUCAAUAGAAUUCAAGACCUUUCAAUCACACCAACCCCAUGCUCAGCAUUUGAUAACAACAAAAACUUUGAAACUCUUAAAGCUUUACCAGACUGUGUGCAGCUGCAGCCAACAGAAGACUUGAAUAUGACAGUAGAUCCUCGCUUACGGCCAUUUCCUCCAGAUCCCUCUAGCGAACAAUCCAUGCAAAUUUACCAGCAGCAUGAAGAAUUAAUGGAAAAUACCUGCAAAUACAGAUGCAAAUCGCUCAAAAAACUAAUUUUUGAAGCAGCUAGAAGGAAAUUUAAAAGAAACUGAGCCAACAAAUGACCAAGAGAUGGAAGUAGAGCUCCAAAAAUUAGAACGAGAAAAAGGAAGUUUGAUCAAGCUGAUAGCAAAUCUAAAGCAACAGCUCGACAUGAUCCGAAAAGCGCGUAAAGGAGAUGCUGAUACCUGGGUGUAUGUAGAAAGAGCGCAAUCUUCUAACCCACCAAAUAAUUCUGAGCCUAGAAAGACAAGUACAUUCUUACAUUAUUGGAAUGUUCUUUUCUCCUCCUCAAGUGAGAAUUUUUUUCAGUAUGUCAGUUACCUGAAGAUCCUCACUUCAAUUGAUCUGUGAUUUGAAUCGGGAAUAUUUUAAUGUCGGUGAAUUGGAUUUUGGUCGUGAUCAUGGCAUCCGGAAUCAGGAUGAAAUAUCUGGGCAUUGGGACUCAUCAGGGAACAAAAAAUUACUGGAAAAGAAGAAGUUGGAGUUAAAAUAAGAGUUUUUUCCUGCUCUUCUCCAAGACCAGUUUGUCUUGAAAUUCAGAAAUCUUUUUAAUUUCAUGCUAAAAAAUUAGUUCAGAGAUGAAAAUAUCAUAAUUUCCUUACUGAAUCUGAACGGAAGUUUAAAUUUUCCCAAGGAAAUGCGGGGGAAAAAGGGUUCUUAUCAGGGAUUUUGGGUCUUAAAUCAAGUGAAAUCAGGGAAUGAGAAAAUCCAAGAACUCAAGACGCCAUGGUCAGAUUUUUACAUAAAACUUCGAUAUAAGCAGUGAAAAUCUGUAAUAAAAAAACGCUAUCAGGUAUUAUAAAAAUAUAGAUAUAGAUCUCUGAAUGAUCACGUAAUAAUCCUAAUAUGUAGAGUAUAUGAAAAGUACUUAAGUAUACUUAGUACUGGUUCCAUAAUCUCGGUGGAAAUCGAGGUUGGACAGCCUGACGUCUUCCUCGUGCUGGAAUUCCUCGGACGUAAACCCAGUCGAAGUACUUGGUGAUUGCUAUGAGUUCAUCUGGCAGCUCUGACUCAAGUAAGUCGAGGGCUUCCUGCAAGUCAUCAGUUGGAACAAUCGCUAACCCAAGGAUACUGUGGACGUCAACCCUUUUCCUAUUCCAGAUUCGUUUACAAAAUGUGCAUCCAAUAUGCACUUCAAAGUAAAAUUUAAAUUUGAAAUGCAUUAAAC